UGGGGAAUAUUGCACAAUGGAGGGAACUCUGAUGCAGCGACGCCGCGUGAACGAAGAAGGCUUUCGAGUCGUAAAGUUCUUUUAUAUGGGAAGAUAAUGACGGUACCAUAAGAAAAAGCCCCGGCUAACUACGUGCCAGCAGCCGCGGUAAUACGUAGGGGGCUAGCGUUGUCCGGAAUCACUGGGCGUAAAGGGUUCGCAGGCGGAAAUGCAAGUCAGGUGUAAAAGGCAGUAGCUUAACUACUGUAAGCAUUUGAAACUGCAUAUCUUGAGAAGAGUAGAGGUAAGUGGAAUUCCUAGUGUAGCGGUGAAAUGCGUAGAUAUUAGGAGGAAUACCGGUGGCGAAGGCGACUUACUGGGCUCAUUCUGACGCUGAGGAACGAAAGCGUGGGUAGCAAACAGG
rnacentral:rRNA from 1 species